rnacentral:rRNA from 1 species
UGGGGAAUAUUGGACAAUGGGCGAAAGCCUGAUCCAGCCAUGCCGCGUGUGUGAAGAAGGCCUUUUGGUUGUAAAGCACUUUAAGUGGGGAGGAAAAGCUUGUGGUUAAUACCCAUAAGCCCUGACGUUACCCACAGAAUAAGCACCGGCUAACUCUGUGCCAGCAGCCGCGGUAAUACAGAGGGUGCAAGCGUUAAUCGGAAUUACUGGGCGUAAAGCGCGCGUAGGUGGUUAUCUAAGUCAGAUGUGAAAGCCCCGGGCUUAACCUGGGAACUGCAUCUGAUACUGGAUAACUAGAGUAGGUGAGAGGGGAGUAGAAUUCCAGGUGUAGCGGUGAAAUGCGUAGAGAUCUGGAGGAAUACCGAUGGCGAAGGCAGCUCCCUGGCAUCAUACUGACACUGAGGUGCGAAAGCGUGGGUAGCAAACAGGAUUAGAUACCCUGGUAGUCCACGCCGUAAACGAUGUCUACCAGUCGUUGGGUCUUUUAAAGACUUAGUGACGCAGUUAACGCAAUAAGUAGACCGCCUGGGGAGUACGGCCGCAAGGUUA